rnacentral:rRNA from 1 species
UUAGUUACCAUCAGGUAAGGCUGGGGACUCUAAUGAGACUGCCAUCGUAAGAUGUGAGGAAGGUGGGGAUGACGUCAAAUCAGCACGGCCCUUACGUCCGGGGCGACACACGUGUUACAAUGGGUGGUACAAAGGGCAGCUACCUGGCGACAGGAUGCUAAUCUCCAAAACCACUCUCAGUUCGGAUCGGAGUCUGCAACUCGACUCCGUGAAGCUGGAUUCGCUAGUAAUCGCGCAUCAGCCACGGCGCGGUGAAUACGUUCCCGGGCCUU